UACGUAGGGUGCGAGCGUUAAUCGGAAUUACUGGGCGUAAAGCGUGCGCAGGCGGUUUUGUAAGCCAGAUGUGAAAUCCCCGGGCUUAACCUGGGAAUGGCAUUUGGGACUGCAAGGCUUGAGUUUGGCAGAGGAGACUGGAAUUCCUGGUGUAGCAGUGAAAUGCGUAGAUAUCAGGAGGAACACCUGUGGUGUAGACAGCUUACUGGACCACUUCUGACGCUGAGACACGAAAGCGUGGGUAGCAAACAGG
rnacentral:rRNA from 1 species